UACGUAGGGUGCAAGCGUUGUCCGGAAUUAUUGGGCGUAAAGAGCUUGUAGGCGGUUUGUCGCGUCUGCUGUGAAAUUUCGGGGCUCAACCCCGAACUUGCAGUGGGUACGGGCAGACUAGAGUGUGGUAGGGGAGACUGGAAUUCCUGGUGUAGCGGUGAAAUGCGCAGAUAUCAGGAGGAACACCGGUGGCGAAGGCGGGUCUCUGGGCCGAUACUGACGCCGAGGAGCGAAAGCGUGGGGAGCGAACAGG
rnacentral:rRNA from 1 species